ensembl:lncRNA ZNF213-AS1 ZNF213 antisense RNA 1 (head to head)
CUGGCCUACGUGCUUAUCUGAUCUCGUUACACCCGAGUGUCUCCAUUUGGAGCCAGCCACCGCCACCAAGAAGUCCUUGUACCAUCCCGGCCACCCGCCACACGCAUGCACACAGCACCAGGCCCCCAGAGGACAUCCCUGUAGAAGUUCUGCUGCGUGUGGUCCAGCCGUCCCCACUCCUCCCGGGAGAGGUACAAGGCCACAUCCUCGAAAGUCACUGGCAUCUGAAACAAUGUGAAACAUCCACUCUCCAGGACAUGACGUGGACACGGUGGAGGGACACCAUGGCAUGAGAUGUGUGGUGAGACCCCGGACUCCCAACCCACUGUGUCGAGUGAGGCCUGCCACUUCCAUCUGAUCGGGAAGCAGGUGAGCCACCCAAGGCCUUCUGGGGAGUUGAGAAAGAACAAAGACCAAGAGGUAUUUUCAGGGAUCACAGUUAAGACUUAGGAUGUCCAUGCAGCCCCCAGCCUCAGCUGAGACCUCGGAGGACGGUUCCCAACGGCUACCAGCGAGAGGCCCUGUGUCUCUAAUUCCUGCUGCUUCUCCUCCAGCUUUGGCCCAGGCCUGACCAUGGGCCUUGAGCCUGGACAAUUCCAGCAACACUAGCAAGAGCCCCAGGCUUCAGGCUUGGCUGCAAGUGGGGCCAGCGGGGUCCUGGCUUUCACACAGAACCAGCAGAUGCAGGAAGGGCUGAGUACCAUGCAGGGGCCGGGGAAGGGCCACUCACCUGGGACCAGGCAGUGAGGAGCGCUGCAGCCAUCUGCCGGUCUCUGGUCCUCCCCUCUCGGGAAAGCACGGGGAUCCGGGGGGAGGGGAGGGCUGUGGGAGGAGAGAGGUCCUCACGGUGAUCAGCUCAUCCUGCUGGACCUGCUGCUACUUCAGCUGCCUCAAACUCCACCCCUGGCCCGACCCAAGGACAGGGUCGGAUGGCUCUGACGCUGCCAGGGGGCUGUGGGCCAUGGGGGGAUAGCGUCCCCUGCUGGCAUAGAGACCCUCAGCCCCACCUGGACCUGGGCCAAACCUCCACCUCCCCACAGCUGCCUCCCUGGGAAAGCGCCUCUUCCCCGUCCCUCUCCUACCUCCGCCAGGCAGGAAGAGAGCUUUCUCCUUAGAGCCGUGACUUAGGGGUGCCCAGCCCCAGGCACCUUGAGCCCCAUCCUCCUGCGAUGCCCCCUCGGAGUGUGGCUCUUCGGGCUCCAUCUUAAUGUGCAGUGACUCCUGAGUGUCCCCUGAAGGUACCGCCUCCCCCAGCUUAGAAGGCAUUUCCUGAUGAGGAUGUCCACGAUCUGGAACCUAGAAAGGACAGCCCCAUCAGCACCCAGAUGAGUGGGAGAGACACCCAGGGCCACAUGGCAGUGCGCUCCGGCAGCGUCGGAAACCAACAUGCAAGACGCAGCUUGAAGGACUGUCCUUGCUGCAUUCAUCCAGCUCACCCCAGCAAGGACGGGCGGCAAGAGGAGGAAUAUUCACCAAGCCGCCUCCACAGUGCCGGUGGGCGUGGUGCCCAAGGGCAGCUACCCCUUCUCAGCUCCAGCCUCACACUGACCUCAGCAGUGUAGACUGCUGUCUAUUAGUGUAUGAAGAAACCAAGUGUAGUGGCUUGAAUAGUGUCCUCUAAGAAUCCGUGUCCUCCCUGGACCUCAGAAUGGGACCUUAUUGGGGAAAAGGGUCUUUAUACAGAAUAGGAGAGGACACAGAGACACAGAGAAGGAAGCAGAGACUGGAGGGAUGCCCACACCAAGGACACCAGGAGCCCCCAAGGAGUUGGAAGAGGUCUCAGUGCUUUUGCAAACCUUCUCUUCUACAACCCUCUCCUGCAAUACAUCUGGGAGGUGGGAUCAUCGUUCACACAUUACAGAGGAGGCAGUGAUGGUUUUCAAAUGAAAAGUGACUUCGCCAAGGACACAUGCAGCUGGGCUGUGGAGGGCCUAGUCUGUCUCCUUUUUCCAUCCCUCGUUUAUUUCCAGAGCUGUUCCUACACCUGAAAAGCGCCACUCCCCCUGCACACCCUGGCAGACAACCGGAUUCGAUGGCCCUGGCAGCCCGAACGCCAACAAACACCCAGUGUCUUUCUGAAGCGACCAUAAGCCAUUCGAGGAAACACGCACGGGGUCCUGCUUGUCCUGGCCUUGUCCCCAAUGCCCAGGGCAGUGAGAGCAGCUCUACACGGAGGCCAGUCCCUGAGGCUUCCUCGGUGGCCUCAGACCUCGGAGUACACACGUGCAGUCCUUACCUCCCAAAGAUAAACCUAACCUCUCACUCUGCUCUUCACCUACUUCAGACUGCUGUCCCAUAUAUGGUCACCAGAGACAUAUGAGAACCACUAGAGAUAGCCCCAAACUGAAAACUGCCCACGGGCUACCCAUAGCAGAAUGAAUAACUGAUGUAAUGAGGAAAAUCAUUCAGCAACGAGAGGGAAAGAACGCUCGAUGGCAUGGAGUCCCAGCUGUAGUCCCAGCUCCUUGGUAGACCGAGAUGGGAGGAUCACUUUAACCCAGGAGUUUGAGUCCAGCCUGGGAGAUAUGGCAAGACCUUGUCUCUAAUAAAAUAAAAUA